CGGACGGGUGAGUAACGCGUGAGAAUCUGCCUUUAGGACGGGGACAACAGUUGGAAACGGCUGCUAAAACCCGAUGUGCCCUUCGGGGUGAAAUAUUUAUAGCCUGAAGAUGAGCUCGCGUCUGAUUAGCUAGUAGGUUAGGUAAUGGCUGACCUAGGCGACGAUCAGUAACUGGUCUGAGAGGAUGACCAGUCACACUGGGACUGAGACACGGCCCAG
rnacentral:rRNA from 1 species